rnacentral:misc_RNA from 1 species
AAUGGUGAUUAUGGUGAAAAAAUAUCUUGAUUGUAAAACUUAGGUGGACUGAGGCUUUCUCCUAAAUUUCAUUUCUCUUUUCGCGUUCAAAAUGUCGACGCUUACCGCCACAUCUGCGGUGACGAUGAACGUGUCCUACUCCGUGACAACGGAUGAGCCGGUUAUGAAUUCAACAGAGCCGUGGACCCCAGUAUAUCCGGAUCCUGAGAAGUGUAAUUAUUAUAUUCUAAACCAUAAUACAACUAAAUAUUUCCAGUUCUCUAAUCCAUACGGAGGAAUUCCACAGAACCUGAUGAUAAACCUGAUCGGCUGGAGUAUUCUUAUCCUACUGUUUGGUGUGCUACGGCGGGCGGCGGGUAACUAUGGCCGGCUGGCGGUUAUCAGGAAGGAGGACGAUGAGUCUAGAUGGACCCAGGUCUUCUUUUCAACCAACGAGGAGGAGGACCCCGUAGAAAACACCGUGGAACAAGGUGUUGAAAGUGAGAAUGAGUCUGUUACCUCUGUAAUGGAUUGGAGUGAAGUAGAUCGAGGAAUCUGUUCCUGGAUAACUUCAAUAUUUACAAUCACAGACGAUAUGAUACUGAGAAAGUGCGGAAGUGAUGCUCUUCAGUAUAUCAAGUUCCAGCGCCAUAUGAUUAUCUUCGUGUUCAUCAUCACUGUUAUCUGCAUCAUGAUCAUCCUUCCCAUCAACUUUACCAUGGGAAACAUACAGGGGGACCAGACAAAUUUUGGACACACUACGAUCUCCAACCUACCAGCCAAUGAUUCAGUUCUCUGGGUUCAUAUUGUGGUCGGUAUCAUGUUCGUUCCUCUAGGAAUCUUUAUAAUGCGGAGGUUCUCAGUAUCCUUGAAGAUAGAAGGAGAUGAAUGUAUUAGCUCUAGAACCCUGAUGUUUGAUCUUAUCCCUGAACAGUAUUGUAAGAAAGAUCUGAUAAUCCGUCAUCUUCAGGAGGCGUAUCCAGUAUCUGUAUAUCCUGGAUUCGAUAUUGAAGAUUUACAAAUCGCGUAUUUUGUUUCGAAAUUAACCAGUCUGACCAGCAAACUCGAAACAGCGAGAAGAGCUGUUACGUUCUGUGAAACAUACAUGAGCAAAAACGGGAAAAGGUUAACAAUGAGUCCGUAUAGCUGUGGACUGCUGUGUGGGCUCUGCUGCUGCGGUAGAAUGAACAGCCUGGAUGCUCUCAACUACUACCAGGAGCAGGAGGAGCAGCUCAGGAUCAAGGUGGAGGAGGAGCAGACAAACCUUCACAAAAAGUCAAUUGGGGUCGUCUUCGUGACGUUCAGCAGUCUCGAGGUUGCUACUAUAGUCAAGAAGGAUCAUACUCAGUUUGGUUGCGGCAGAUCGAAUCCUCCAACCUCAAGUCUGCAGAACCAGCUCCACCCUGACACCUGGGCUGUCAGGUUUGCUCCGCCCCCGGAGGAUAUUUAUUGGGAGAACUUAAACCGAAGCAACUACAGAGUAUUCAAGGUUUGGUUAAGUAACAUAAUCCUGUUCCUUGUUCUAUUCUUCUUCACCUCCCCGGCCUACCUGAUCAACCUGAUGGAGACUCUACCAUUCCUCAACACUAAGUCUAUUAAGGAUGAUCUAAAUGUAAACCUACCCUCUUGGAUAACAGAUUUCCUACCUACAAUGCUACUCUGGACCCUCUCAGCUCUGCUACCUGUUGUUGUAGCAUACUCAGACUGGUGGUUGGGACAUUGGAGACGGUCUUUAGAAAACCUGUGGAUUAUGAGGAAGGUAUUUGGUUACCUUCUGUUCAUGGUUCUAAUCCUGCCUUCCAUUGGUCUGACCACUGUCCGGGCUCUGGUGGAGAAUGUUUUGAAGAGUAAGAGUCCGGACUCUGAGAUCAACUGGCAGUGUAUCUUCCUACCAGACAACGGGGCCUUCUUCAUCAACUACGUGACGACCAGUGCCCUGGUAGGGACCGGACUGGAGAUCAUGAGGUUCCCGGAGUUGAUCGUCUACGCGUUCAGACUUGCUUUUGCCAGAUCGUCUGCUGAGAUCUCGUCUGUUCGGCGUGAGAUCAUCUACGAGUUCCCUUUCGGCAUAAACUACGCCUGGAUGCUUCUCAUCUUUGCUCUUACUGUAUCCUACUCAGUAAUCUGUCCUCUGAUAACCCCGUUUGGCCUGUUCUACAUGAUUAUGAAGCAUGGAACUGACAGAUACAAUAUUUACUUCGCAUACAAAAGGUCAAAAAUAAAUAAGAAUAUCCAUGGCUGCGCGAUCAACUGUGUAAUGAUCUCCCUUCUCAUCCAGCAGCUAAUGCUGCUCUUCUUCAAUACAGUGCGCGCAAACAAGACGGGACUCCUCCCACCCAGAGGAAUAUUUUCGAUCACGAUGUUUACAAUAUAUUCUCUUCUCUUCAUUGUUCAAAUAUUUUUCCAUUCUUUUAAGGGAAUUUCCCCUAUACAAUACAUACAGAACCCUUACCAGCAGUCCCUCCUACCAGAGGCAGGGCGGAGUCAGGAGGGGCGUUCCCGGCAUCACCGCCCCAGACAGUUUAUUCCAGAUGUUCUCCGGAAUGUGGAUGUCGAGGCCUAAAUCUGAGAGCGUCCUCUAAAAUAUCCAAAACUUCACAGAGGACGUUCUUUUAGGGAUUUUAAUACAAUUUAAGCUUUGCAGAGAAGAGAAUUCAUUGUUUUUUUUAUAAAACUUUGGAAGUAUUUAAGUUAACUCAUGUCUCCGUGAUUAUUUCAAAAACUCAUUAAAGCAGAUAGUUUAGACUUUAUUAAAGGGACUGUCUUUGUCUACAGUCCCUUUAUACAUAUGGAGGCUUAUAUUUUGCGGACAUUAUAUUCAACAAGUUUUUAAUUCUCAGACGUUCAAUAUUUUAGUAAUAGUUUAGUCUUUAGUUUUUAAAAUGUUUUAUUAUUGUGCUAAAUUUGACAAGUAUUGCAUACUCAAUCUCGAGAUAUAGAUUUAAUAUAUUUAAUUGUUAAGUUUAAAAGGUUUGUUAACGGAAUUUUAACUUACCCUUUGUGUACCAUUAACGAAAUACAUUAGUGCAUAUAAAACCUUGAUUUAACAAGUGAGUAAAUUGGGAAAUAUUUUUUUAAUCGGAAAAUUCAAAAUCUCGACCAUUUUCUAGAAAGCAAUUCGUGGAUUUCUACAGCAAAGAGUUCCGGAAAAUUUCGUUAACAGUCCCUUUAAGAUAGUUUUAUUUAUAUUUUAUUAUUUAAGUUGUGGAAUUUAUAGAUUUUAUUUUAUUUUCAUCAUUUUAAAUAUUGUGAUUGAUAGAAAUCUAUUUUAUUUAUUUGUCUAGUUUGGAGAAGUAAUCUCGAUAUGCUUAUUUUGAAUAUUUACCAUGGUAUUGCCAAACAUAAUUAAAUAAAGACAGGGUUUCUUGUUUA